CUCGUAGGCGGCCAACUAAGUCAGACGUGAAAUCCCUCGGCUUAACCGGGGAACUGCAUCUGAUACUGGAUGGCUCGAGUUCGGGAGAGGGAUGCGGAAUUCCAGGUGUAGCGGUGAAAUGCGUAGAUAUCUGGAGGAACACCGGUGGCGAAGGCGGCAUCCUGGACCGACACUGACGCUGAGGAGCGAAAGCCAGGGGAGCAAACG
rnacentral:rRNA from 1 species